UACGAAGGGUGCAAGCGUUAGUCGGAAUUACUGGGCGUAAAGCGUGCGCAGGCGGUCUUGCAAGACAGAUGUGAAAUCCCCGGGCUCAACCUGGGAACUGCAUUUGUGACUGCAUGGCUGGAGUGCGGCAGAGGGGGAUGGAAUUCCGCGUGUAGCAGUGAAAUGCGUAGAGAUCGGGAGGAACAUCUGUGGCGAAGGCGACUGCCUGGACCAGCACUGACACUGAGGCACGAAAGCGUGGGGAGCAAACAGG
rnacentral:rRNA from 1 species